rnacentral:rRNA from 1 species
GUCCCUUGGAACAGGGCAGCAGAGAGGGUGAGACUCCCGUUCGCCUGGCCCUUGGAGCGAGUUUCAACGAGUCGAGUUGUUUGGGAUUGCAGCUCUAAUUGGGUGGUAAAUUCCAUCUAAAGCUAAAUACUGGUGGGAGACCGAUAGCGAACAAGUACCGUGAGGGAAAGAUGAAUAAGAACUUUGAAAAGAGAGUUAAAGAGUACCUGAAAUUGCUGAAAAGGAAGCGAAGGAAACCAGUGUCAGCUGCGUCAUACUUCUUCACUCGCUUGCGAUUGGAGCGCUGUGGCCAGCGUUGUCAGGUUUGAUUGGGUUUUUGUGGCCGGAUACGCGCAUGGGUCGUUGACCCUUGCUUUACCGCGGCCGCCCCGAUCGAGACUGACGAAAUGGUUUUCUUCUCCCCGUCUUGAAACACGGACCAAGGAGUUUAACAUAUGUGCGAGUACAGGGGUGGCAAACCCCUGUGCGCAAUGAAAGUGAUAGUGGCUGGAUUAUUUUGCACAGUCCGCCGGCCUCAAUCCUUCGGGAGAACGGUCUGAGUGUGAGCAUACAUGUUGAGACCCGAAAGAUGG